rnacentral:rRNA from 1 species
CUACGGGGGGCUGCAGUGGGGAAUAUUGCACAAUGGGCGCAAGCCUGAUGCAGCCAUGCCGCGUGUAUGAAGAAGGCCUUAGGGUUGUAAAGUACUUUCAGCGGGGAGGAAGGGAGUAAAGUUAAUACCUUUGCUCAUUGACGUUACCCGCAGAAGAAGCACCGGCUAACUCCGUGCCAGCAGCCGCGGUAAUACGGAGGGUGCAAGCGUUAAUCGGAAUUACUGGGCGUAAAGCGCACGCAGGCGGUUUGUUAAGUCAGAUGUGAAAUCCCCGGGCUCAACCUGGGAACUGCAUCUGAUACUGGCAAGCUUGAGUGUCGUAGAGGGGGGUAGAAUUCCAGGUGUAGCGGUGAAAUGCGUAGAGAUCUGGAGGAAUACCGGUGGCGAAGGCGGCUCCCUGGACGAAGACUGACGCUCAGGUGCGAAAGCGUGGGGAGCAAACAGGAUUAGAUACCCCGGUAGUC